rnacentral:lncRNA from 10 species
GGGGAAGCCGAGGCCCGGCGCCGUAUCCUGUGGCCGUUUUACCCGCGGGAAAGUCGAGGCCCGGCGCCGUAUCCUGCCGCCCGUUUUACCCGCGAGGAAGCCGAGGCCCGGCGCCGUAUCCUGCCGCCCGUUUUACCCGCGGAGACGCCGAGGCCCGAUGCCGUAUCCUGCCGCCCGUUUUACCCGCGGGAAAGCCGAGGCCCGGUGCUGUAUUCUGCCGCCCAUUUUACCCGCGGGGAAGCUGAGGCCCAGUGCUGUUUAAUAUCUUACUCAUGUUCACUUGAUGAGAAAGUGACAGAUCUGAGACAAACCCAGUUCUAGAGGUUAUGACACCAGCCAUGGAAGAGCAGAGAGGCCAAUGAGGUGGGGAGGUUGGAAACAAAAGGCCUUCUCCACCCCAGCUUGACCAACCCAAAAGCUGGAAGGCAAGGAAGACCUAGAUCGACAGAAAAGAAAUGAGUCAACGAUGGUGCAGGUGAUCUGUGCAGUGCUGUGCAGGGGAUGGGUCAAAGCUGUGAUGCUGGCAUGCAACUAACUCACCAUUGUGAGCCAAUCACAAAAGCAGAAACUUGGCCAAGCUGAAAGGGACCAGCUUGACGAAGCUUCUGCUUUUGUGACUGUCUCCUAAUGAAACCAGAGCACCUCAGAAGAUCAAGGCUUCCAAAUUCUCCUGGGGGAACAGACGUCAGCCAUUCAGCACAAAGGAAACUUCCUUCUCUGUAUGUCAGAGGAAGACAUAAUUGUGCCAUUUCCUUCUUGAAGAAGUUUACAAACAUUUGCAAGUUGUCAAAAAUAAUUAGUCUAAAAUUGUUUCAUAAACCGUGGAAUGAAACAGGACGUGCCUUGUUGAGAUCAAAGGGCUUCUGUUACCUUCUUGUAAACUCAAAUGAAAUUCUUUUGAAAGUAAACUCUUGGAAUUAGCA